rnacentral:lncRNA from 1 species
UGAAUUUUAAUUUCAAUUUUUUAUAAUCAGUACCUUAGACAAGAUUAAAUGCAAAGACUAAAUUGAGUAAAAUGCCCAUGAGAUAAACUAAAGUAUAUGAAUUACCCCUUUUAUCACACAAUUUGACUAUCUGUAUCCUUCAUAUUCCCUAAUACACCUUCCUAGUAUUGUCAACAAACUAAAUUAUUACUGAAAUAGCUUCGCAAAAUAACUUCAUUGCAACUAUAUUAUUACUAGAAUAACUUCAUGAAGCAAUAGAAAUGACUACAGGAGUUAACUUUAGCUAGUUAAGACAUUACUCGAUUGGACAUAAGCAUAAGUGAAUGCUUAAAUAAUACUCACACAAGUCUAGAAAAAUACUCACAGUCCACACACAAUCCCGUAUGAGUUAAAUGAUCUAAGUAGUUCAAAUUUUUUUCUAAUUAUGUAGUCCUUACUACAAUUGCAAAUUAAACAAACUAAAUGCGUAUACUACUCAUCACAUGGUUGAAUACAACUAUAUGCAUCCAAACGAGCAUAGGUCUGGAAAUAUGAUUUCAUUUCAUUGUUUUGAUAGGAUAAGAUACAUUGAUAAUCCAGAAUGUGUACCUGGUAAUUGACAAAUUAAAUGAUAGGAGGAAGGAUCAGUAAUGAACAACAGUAACAAAUACAACACAUCAACAAGUUCAAGCAACACCAGUGAACUUUCAACAGAAAACCAAUCACUCAAACUGAAGCAAUGUUCAGCAAGUAGAAAACCCAGGAAAAUACUAAACAGUAGUACUUGAAAACCAACUGAAGAACCUAGCAACACCAAUGGAAUACCAGUAGUACCAAAAAAUAACCUCAGUCAAAACCGAAGAGAAACAAAUGAAAAGCAACAGUAGUUGCCUGCCUUUGAACACUCAUGAAAAAAAAACUUGGAAUUUCAAAUGAACCAGUUGAAAACACUAACACUGACUUUUAGCAAAAUAGACCAUACUCUCCUAAUAUUGAACUUCUGAUCUUAAAAUUCAGUUCUAAGCUCUCAAUUCCGAAUAUUUAAUAUUCAGUCCCACUCUUAGUUCUAAGUUUCUGAACUCCAAAACUCUCCUCCUUUUCUUUUUCGACCCCCUGUAUUUAUAGCCCAUUAUAGCCCUUAAAAGGCACUAAGCCAGCUACCUUAUUCAUUACUCCUUCAUGUACUUUUGCUUUUCAGCUCUUAGGAGCAAUAUCACUAAUUAAAGAAGUGAAUAAAACCAUGUUAUUCCCUGUAUUCCCCACUCAGAAUACUCAAACACUUAGCUUUUUGGUACCACCACUGGCCUUUCUUUCUUUAUUAAGUUACAGACGUAUGAGCAGCCUGUUAUUCUAUUCAAAAUCUCUUAAACCUGUGAAAGGGUGCCCAUGUGACUUCUGCUUUCUAACCUUAAGGGUGUAUUAGGUAUGGGCAGCCUGUUAUUCUAUUCAAAAUCCCUUAAACCUGUGAAAGGAUGCCCAUGUGACUUCUUCUUUCUGACCCUAAGGGUGUAUUAAUCAAUGUAUUAACUUAUUGGUCCACUAGUAUCACCUGACAGACCACUCACUAGACCAUUUUCAAUUUCUGAGAUUUCAAAUUACCCUUGAAAAUCUCACUAGAGAUGCAACAAUAAUCAACUUAAUCAAACUCAACUCAGAUACUGAGAUGAAUGUACUAAAACUAGUGAGGCAAAACAUGCAUUUAAACUGAACUGGCAACCCACAGAACUUAGAGAUUGACAACUUCAGUUCAAUGUUAUUACUGACUAAGUAAAUGAAUUGAUUUCUAAACUUGAGCAUUCAGGAAGACUUAUCAAUUUUAACAUUGUGAUGCAUUAAUUUCAUACGAACAGACUAACUUGGUUUGAUCAUAGAAUCAAACAGAAACUAAGCAGGAGAAGAAGAAACACUAAAAUUAAACAAAGAAAGAGAGUUGAAAAAUACCGGAUAUUCAAAACUGAAAAUUCCUCGUCCCUUCGUUCUGGGCAGAAGCGGACCUUAAUCGUGUGCUUCCAAUAUGGAAAUAUAUGACUAAGGUCAAAUUCAGUCCCAAAAGAUCCUCACAGUGCGUGUUUGGUCUUCGAGUCAAAAUUACGGCUCCUUUCAAUCAAUCUAAGAUUCGAAAACUUCUAGCCUGGUUCAAUCAAAAGAUGGUGUUAAAUUAGGGAUGAGGGGGGUCAGGUGGAGCUGGGGAGUGAACUUGGAACUGGUUGGGUAGGAUUAAUGUUUCAUUCGAAUCUUUGAUUGAAGAUUCGAAACAAACCGGGAUGAUUCGAGGUGAAAGGGGUAAGGAAUUAGAGAGGGGGAUCAGGGCGGUUCAGGAGUGUAAGUUUGGCGGACAUUGGAGCCGGCGCUGCCGGGUUUUUAGGCGAAGGAAAUGGGGGCGGUGUUUAGGGUUCAAGGGUCAUUUGGUUCGUCUCUGAAGAGACGAAGGGGGAGUGUUUGGAAAUGAGACGGGUAAAGGGGAUUUGGAGGGGGGUUUAUUUGGAUAUAUAAUUGCUUAAUUAAUCUAGGCCGUUGGAUAAUGAGAUCCAACAGUUCAGAAUAAAAAGAAAUGAUGGGGCGGUCCAGUUUGGUAACGGGUGAGGGUCGUUCAGAUUAAAAAGAAAUUAUGGGGCGGUCCGGUUUGGUAUCGGGUGAGGGCCGGACAAUGUAUCUGGGUGAGGAUUAGAUGAUCUGGACCGUUGAUCAAGUGAGAUCAACGGUCAGGAUGGGGAGUGACGAAACGACGUCGUUUGUGUCGUCUGUGAGGCUUGGGCCAAUUUGACCGGGUAAAGGGAUGUUUGAAUUGUGCUUGCUUAUAUUAUAAAAUUUCGGCCCAAACCGAAUUACUUCAUUUUCUUUCACUUUUUUUUCAUUUUCUUUUUAAUUCCUAAUUACCAAAGUUCCUAAAGUAAAUUGUAAAAAUCAAAAUUACCUUAAAUUAUUAAUUAACCUUUAAUAAUAAUUAUCACACCAAAAAUUAAACAUUAAGUACAAACAAGAUCAGGAACUUGGAUAUUAAGUGCCAAAAAAUACAGACAAACGUAUUUUUUUUGUGAUUUUCAUUCUUUUAAAACCAAAUAUGGUUCAGUUAAUUCCUAAUUGUACAAUUAAAUCCUAAAUGCUCAUGCAACAUAUAUAUUUUUGGAUUUCUAAUUAAUUAAAACAAAAACAAAAAAUAAACAAUUACUGGCACAAUAAUUUCUGAAAUUUCAUGCAAGUUCUCAAAAUUGUACCCGGAGGUAACUUGUUUUAUUUUUUUCCGAUUUAUUUUGGAGUGAUUUUCGUGAAGCAAAAAUCCCGUGCUCAGAGCUGCCCCUCUUUGUCCAAAGCACGAAGAGCUUUCGUGCAAAGAUAAAGUGAGCGGUACGAGCGUUUUUCGUCCGUUGGAAUACUCAGUGCGAAGAAUUUUUUGAAAAGAUUUAACCGAACCUUUGCUUCAAAGGCUUCCUACAUAUCCCUGGCUAAAAGGGAAUCAUGUAAUGUUUUUCGGGAAGCUUUGGUAGUUGGGACUACCGGGGAACUGUGGUUCUGCUGCUUGCUGCUGUAUGCCCCUACUACUGCUUUACCAAUCUCAUUAUUACACCGUGCUAAAAAGAAAACAAGAAAAAGUUUUGGUAUCUAGGACUACUAGGGAACCGUGGUUCUGCUGUUACUGAUGCUGUAUGCCGUAACUACUGCUUUACCGAUCUCCUUAUUAAACCGUGCUAAUAAGAAAACAAGAAGCUAGGCUAGACUAUGGAUCAGAAGAUCUUAUCUAUCUUCAACUUGUUUUUGCUGCCUUGCUUUCUUGUCGACUUGUGUUUCUUUCGCCGCUUCUUUCUUCUGAGAGCUUGAGGGGUGACCCUGACCUUUGCCUUCUGAACAUUAUUUUUCAUUAUCUUUGCUUGGACUGCUGGGGGCAUGGCUUCCCUUAUUAUGCUUCUUGGCGAUUCCAUUGGGGAGACGACUUUUUGGCGAUUCCAUUAGAGAAAAUUUUCCGCCUUUUUGGCGAUCCCCUAUGGAUACGACCUUCUUCAUCAGUGUUUGUUAUGCCGGGGCUUUUUGUGGUAACCUUGUUCCUUCCAGAGGGGGUUACCGAUUUCAAAUCAUAAAUGUAAAGCUAAUGAACUGUAACUAUAUGCAAUGUGGAUGAAAAUUUAUAUGACGCAUAGUCAUAUGAGAUGUAGAUGCAAAGUUAUAUGACACAUAGUCAUGAGAUGUAGCUGCAAAGCUAUAUGACACGUAGUCAUGAGAUGUAGAUACAAAGCUAUACGACACAUAUUCGUGAUGUUGAUGCAAAGCUAUACGACACGUAGUCGUGAGAUGUAGAUGCAGAGCUAUAUAACGCGUUCUCAUAUGAUGUAAAUACAAAGCUAUAUGACACGUAGUCAUAAGAUGUAGAUGCAAAGCUAUAUGACACGUAGUCGUGAGAUGUAGAUGUAGAGAUAUAUGAUGCGUGGUCAUGUGAUGUAGAUGCAGACCUAUAUGAUGCGUAGACAUGUGAUGUAGCCCCUGGUUUGGAUAGACAGGUGGCCUGAAUGCAAAUCUAUAUGAUGCAAUCCCUUAUUUUACUAGUGGGUGCCCUAGGAUGCUGUUGUAAGGAUGUGAUUAUAACUUGAAUUCAGUUUCCCCAUUCCGAGGGAAUGUUCGACAAAGGCAGAAAAUUUUCUGCCCCAGUUCAGGCGUUCUCACAUGUGGUACGUCUUUUAGCCAGUGUCAGCAUUUCUUUUUCUGCUUCCACUCAAAGAAAACUUUAUUAGUUCAAAACAUGGCGAAUGGUCAUGCCACUCCAUUGGGUAUGGUCUUUGCUUUCCUUUUUUCUUGCUCUGUGCUCCCAAACUUUCUAGGGAUUGGCGUUACAUGCUAGGGAUGAUAUUUCUGUUGGUGAUGGUUUGCUAUUUCUUACUUCCUCGUCCUGUGUUCGAGAUGCUCUAGGAAUGUCUUUUAAGCAACCUCCUUUCAAAAGUUUCACUUUCCCUUAGCUCUUCUGGGGAUAAGAUGUUAUUAGCUGGGAUAGUGUUGUCAAGGAUAUGGAUGGUGGGGGUUAUCUUGCUGGGGAUGAAUUUUACCCCUUUCCCUCCCCUUUUCCGCGUUGUCCGACCACCUUGGAAUUUGGCCAAUAAUCUGUCGAAGUUCUGCUGGGGAUCCUCUUGUAUUUUGGUCCACAAUUUCUUCAACUGCUGCUUUCCAACUUUUCUCCAUAUUUCCGUUGACAUUUUAGUCCAGUUUGUCAUUUGGUCUUGCAACAAACGCCUUUUCGUCUUAUUGUCUUGUUUUUGGCUAGUCCUCUUCACAUUUCGCUUUGUACCAUUUUGGCAACCGGUAGUAAACUCUGAAAAAUCUUUCUCAAAAACAAAUUUGUUUUUUUGGAUAAAGUCUUUUAAACAAAGCAAUGAAAAGAUAGAAAAGGUAAAAUCUUUCUGAACAAAUGCAAGGAAAAGAAAAGAACUUAUCUAGGUGGUACAACUGAUCCCAACGAUCAUGUCGUGCAUUCCGGAUUAAUCGACCUAAUCUAUUUGUAUUAACCAAUUUUUCCUAACGGCUUCAUUUGCCGGGAUAAACAUAUGUCCAACUCUUUGCCAUAUGCGGAUCCUCUCCGCCAAUCUCAUCUUGCCGCCUUAUAGUGCCCUUUGAGGGGUUUUCACUAGUAAGACUCUCUCCUUUCUCUCAGAUCCUAUCGCCUUAUGGUGACCGUGAAGGUUUUCACCACAAGACUCUCUCAUUUUGUUAUCUCUCAACUUACGUCGCCUUAUGGUGUCUGUGAAGGUUUUAACCGAUAAGACUCUCUCACUUUAUUUUUCAGCUGGGGAUCGGAGUGUUACCAAUAAGAUUCUCUCUACUAGGAGUUCUUUUGGCUAUCAAUUUCUUCAGCUUAUGACCCUCAUCCGGUUGGAGAUCAGUGUAUUAUUCUUGGAUUCCACUUGCCUGACUCGGCACAUUUCGGAUAUUGAUAGGGAGGUCUUCUUUUGUUAUAACAUGUGGGUUCUGUGGGCUUGAAAGAAAAAGGGGUAUCAAAAUUUCGAAGUGACUUCGAUGGGUGAGAGACUACAACUCUUGGAAUAAAAAAUUUUCUAACAACCUAACUUCUGCCCCAGUUUUUCUUGGGGAGUUUUGAUUUUUCGCGACAUUUCGUCGCACUAUGACCGAGCCGUGAGGCACCUACGUAUCCUUUCUUGAGGAAUCAGGUCAAACUUAGUUCCCAAAUAUUUUUUUUCUUAUGAUUUUAUUAUGAUUUUCUCUCUUUUUUUAACAAUUCCAAGAGAAGGGUAUGAAAGAACAAAUACGGCUCAAAGGGGGAAACAAAGGUUGAUAGUGUUUAGGUAGAAGAAAGAAUUGCCUCCGUCAUUUCUUUAUCCGAUGAACACCAAGUACAAACAAACAAAAUAAUGAUAAAUACAAUCAAGGAAUUUGCACAUAGUAUCUCUUGACCGCGUCAGAAUUGAUAGCCAUGUCAGUGCAUCUUCCUUCGACAUCUGUCAAGCAUAAAGCACCAUUGGAUAAUACCCUGGUCACAACAUAUGGUCCUUGCCUCGACCUGUAGCGGGAGAAUCUGUUUCAGUACUUGCUGCCCUAUUUAAAAUUUUCUAGGGUGCACCUUCAUGUUGUAAGCUCUCGCUAUUCUCCUUUGAUAUAAUUAGCCACGGCGUACUGGUUCCACUUUCUUUUAGUCAAUUUAGCUCAACUACCCCAAUCGAGCUUUGACCCACAUUGUCGGCAUGGAUGCUGAUUUUGGUUUCCCUCACAUUGUCACCAUCCCCCAGAUUAACAGCCUCAAUAUCAUUUAAAUAUGGCUUAGGCUUUUCUUUGUAUUGGCUCAAUUCCCUGUUUACCUCUUCAAAGGCUUCAUCCUCGCCAUAUUCCAAUUCAUCAUCAGAAUCGACCUCUUGUAUAAUUAGCUCAGAAUUAGAUUAAUUAUUUAGACUGGGCCGAAUAUCCGUCGUGCAUGCCAUGUCAUCAGGACCAAUAAAAAUAGAACCGUUCAGAAAGCAAAAGAAGAAGAAAUAAAAUUAAACAAAACAAGAAUAGAAAACUUUUACUUUAAUAAAAUAGGGGAUAACAGGGUUCACACUUUUACUUAAAAAUAAAACAAAAUUUGGAUUACACCUUGGAAUAAUCCAGAAAACGAGAAAGAUAAAUCAAGGCCUAUUACCAAGACUCCCUCCGGGUAGGGAGAGGAGUUAUUGUCUGGUUGUUAAGGUUGGCCCUAGGCCCGACAAACGGCAUAUCAGCCCUGCUGGAACCCUCUCCGGCUUCUAAUACAUUAACGUCGACGAACAUCUUUGGCUCCCCUCCUUCGUGCACCAGCUCGAUCAUAUGGGUUGCAUGAUGUGCGGGCAAUGGGUUUUGGUUAAUGUUAGGUGCCUCCGGCGCCUGAACCACAAUUUUGUUGGCGUCGAUAAGAUCUUGUAUCGCCCGCUUCAACUUCCAACAUUUUGCCGUAUCAUGUCCAGGCAUUCUCGAACAGUACUCGCAACUUAGCGAUUGGUCCACAUUUGGGGGUGGGGGAUUUGGCAACCUAUUCCCCACAGGAUUCAACAAAUCCAACUGCUUUAACUUGUGAAAAAAAGCGGUAUAGGUCUCUCCUAACUCGGUGUAGGUUCUUUUUUCUGUAUUCUUUCAUUUCUGUUGCCGGAUUUCCCCGAAAACCUGCCCCUGGAGGGUUAUUGUUGGACCUGGGUGGUGGAUAAAUGUUUUGUGGAGGCGGGUAUGUGUUUUGUGGAGGUGGAUAUGUGUUUUGGGAAACCGACGUGCGCCAUUGUGGUUGAGCCGGGGGUUGAGUGUAGGUUUGGGCUGGAUAUACCGCGAAAUGUGGUUCUUGUGGUGGAUAGUGGUACUGUGGUGGGCUGUGUGGGGAAUGUGGAAAAUUUGGCUGGUGGGGACUAUGUUGGUUAUAGUAGUGCUUCCUGGAUCUGGACCAAUUGCUAGCUUCGACCGUGGCCACUUCUUCUUUCCUUUUCUUUCCAAUCGCACCUCCCGUGCCGCUUUGAAUAGCCUGAGUUGUUGUCUUAUGCGCCGCUCAGUUCAGGAUUUUAUCGGACUUCAGUCCCUCCUCUAUCAUAACCCAUAUCUUUACUACUUCAUUGAAGGAUUUUUCAACCGUCGUCACCAAGUGACCAAAGUAAGUCGGAUCCAGCGUUUGCAGGAAGUAGUCCACCAUUUCCCUCUCUCUCAUGGGAGGAUCAACCCUGGCUGCUUGUUCUCUCCAACGGAACCCGAAUUCACGGAAACUUUAUGUGAGGCGGCCAGGGACUAUCCCGAGAUUGUACUGGAAGUGACCUGUGAAAGCCCGCGCUAGAUCGUCCCAGGUGUACCACCUGCUGGGAUCCUGUCUGGUAUACCAUUCCAGUGCUGAUCCGUUUAUACUUUGGCCGAAAUAAGCUAUCAGUAGCUCAACUUUGCCACCCUCUCCUCUCAUCUUGCUGCCGAAACCCCGUAAAUGUGCCAAAGCAUCGCCAUGCCCUUCGUACUAAGUCGAAUUUAGGCAUCUUGAAACCUGAAGGCAGUUGGACAUUAGGGAACGAGCAUAGAUCUUUGUAGGCUACGCUGACUUAGUUGCCCAACCCGUACAUGCUCCUGAAGGAUUGCUCCAGGCUUUUGAACUUCCUCAUUACCUCAUCCUGCUCCAGGACCAUUGAAGGCUUUUCAAUCUCCACAGGGACUUCCAUGUGGGUAUUAUGGGUAUGGGGCUCUGGUGCAUUGAAUGUGGGUUCAGGGGGAUAGUAUGGUGCAUCGUGAGCCUGAAACAACGGCUCACUAGUUGAUCUCUGCAGCGUGGCUGGUGAGGGUCCCAUAAAAACGGGAACAUUUGAUGGUGGAAAAUGUUGAUCGGGUGGUAGAGCUUGGGUAUCAUAGGGGUUUCUCCCCUGAUAAUAGUGGUGAUUCGGGAGCCUUGUUGAAGGGCCAGGGUGAGGGUAUUCCGGCAUGUGAUCCAGGGCUCUUCUGCACUAUAGCCAAGGCUAACUGCAUCACUUUCAUUUCCAAUCCGAUCCUUUCUAUCUUCUCCAUUGCCUCUUUCAGCAACUGGCUCACUGGCCUUUCUUCCUCGACGCUAUGUUCUGAAGUAGCCAUGCUUAUUGGGAUAGGUCAUUUGGAUCUAGUCUGAUAAUGAUGUGAUGCCAGAACGCUUUAACAACUAACUGUCUGAUAUUUGGAAAAUAACAAACUUGUUAGCGUUAGAGUUUAACGUAUUUGGUAAUUGCACAUUGAUGCAUUGUUCCUAAGCAGUUAACCAUUUCUAACAUGAUUUUGCUCCAACCGCAUGCGUCAUCCCGGCUUGUUUUAUUCGUGCCGUUAAAGUGUUUAGGGAACCAGGUGGAGCUUGGGUAUCAUUGGGGCUUCUGCCCUGAUAAUAGUGGUGAUUCAGGAGGGUUGUUGAAGGGCCAGGGUGAGGGUAUUCCGGCGUAUGUCCUAAUGUAGGAGUAACGGGUGGUUCAUGGCUCUUCUGCACUUUAUCCAAGGAUAACUGCAUCGCGUUCAUUUCCGAUCCUAUCCUUUCUAUCUUCUCCAUUGCCUCUUUCAGCAACUGGCUCAUUGGCCUUUCUUCCUCGACGCUAUGUUCUCAAGUAGUCAUGCUUAUUGGUAUAGGUCCUUUGGAUCUGGUUUGAUAAUGAUGUGAUGCCAGAAUGCUUUAACAACUAACUGUCUGAGAUUCGGUAAAUAACAAACUUGUUAGCAUUAGUUUUAACAGAUAUUGCCAUUGCACGCUGGGGGAUGCAAUGUUCCUUGGCAGUUAACCAUUUCUAGCAUGUUAUGCUUUGAUCCGCAUGCGUCACUCCAGCUUAGUUAUGAUUACCUCUUUUUUUUAAUAAAAGACCACGUAUUGCAAAUACGGCCUUUCAGUGUCUCGGGGACAAAGAUUAUAAGUCUGUGUGGGUCAACUGGCCAAAAUCUAAAAAAUGACCCAAAGGUGGCCGUUAAUCCAAAAUUAGCCUUCCGGCGUCCCUUUCGGGAACAUUUGGCUAUUUUGACAAUAAUGACGUCACCUAACUUAUUUAUGACGAAAAUUAAAAUUUUUGACACUUUGUUUUUGGUUAUUUUUUGCAAAGGGGAGGUUGGACCCGAUUAGGGUUGCCGACGUAUCUCACAUCCGGUGAGAAUCAAACAAACGUUGUUCGGGUGAGAAAAAUAAAUUAAAGCGAGACUCUAUUAUUUUUGAAGAAAAACACCCCAUUUUUCUUCUUCUAAAAUUUUGGCAUAGUUUUACAAUACUUGGACAUUGUUUUUUUAAAUCAAUUUAUUUACUUUUUUAUUUUUAAAAUGCGCAAUUAUCUCUCCGCCAUUUUUCUCUCUUUUUUCACAAUUUUUUGGUUUUCCAGAAUUCCUGUUUUCACAAGCUGGUCAACAUGCAAUUUCGAAGCAAAUUAUAUGCGCAAACAAACAAGAUACAACAGGAUGAUCUUUUUGUUUCAGGUUGUUAUUCCUAGAUAGGCCUAACCCCUGUGUUGAUCCCCCUAAGUCAUAUGCAAUGUGAUGCAAAUAAGCAUAUCCUACUUGGGAUCCGGCAUGAAGUCAUGUUUUACUAGGUUCAAAUCCUGGGUAUAUAUUCUAGACAGUGCACCCGAGCGAACAACUCGAGUCGAGGAAGGAGCUCCUUUAAGGGAACCAAAAGGCCAACCGGCUUAGAAACUUUCCGAGCCUCUUUUAUUUCAGGGCAUGACACUAACAAAAUUAGGGAGUCGCAACCAGUAAGCACAUCCUCGGAGGUGAGAAGAGAAUGGUGUCGGCAAAGUUUAUAUACAGUUCAGAUAACAUCAAAGCGGUAAUACAUUUAACACAUAUCCCAUGAAAAUAUCAGAUAAUAAAUCAAAAUACAAUUUAUCAUGAACCACUUGGCGCGCCCCGCGAGGGGCGCAAGGAGUUUUAUCAAAUUAAAGUAUAAUCGAACGGAAUUAGAUUAAUUAUUUCAGAGUCGCCACCUGGGAGAUUUAUGGUGUCACAAGUCACCGGUAUUAAUCCCAAAUCGAGGAAAAGAAUGACUCUAAUUUACAGUCUGCAUACCUGAUAUCUGGAUAAGGAAUUCUGUUAACCCGGGAGAAGGUGCUAGGCAUUUACGAGUUCCAUAAUUCAUGCACGGUCGCUCAACAGUUAUAUUUGGCUUAUUAUCUGAUUUUAAACAAUAUGUGCUUAGUGCAAAAAUAUGACUUUUUACAGCUUUUGUUAUUACUGUUGUUAUUUUUUAUAAUGACUUGCAAUGUCGUGAAAACAUAUCUCGAACCACGUCACAACCAGUGUACGUGUGGUCGUCGACACAUUUCGACUUCAUCGAGAUUUGGAUUUGGGUUGCAUAAAUGCACACCCGUAUUUAGGGAGGUAAUAUUAUUAAAGAUGCGCCCUAAGCAACUAGCGUAGUGUUUCUUUGGACAAAGCCAUGAUAUUUUGUUAAUCGGCCCGUCCAGAGUUUAAGCAAUCUUGCACAACGAACAUGUAUAGAGGGCCCCGCAAUUUGUGUAUUAUUGGUUUGGCGAGGCACGCCUCCUUUAGUUGCUUAUUUUUAUGAAUUACGACGUAAUAGAAAUGCAUCUCGAACCACGUCACAACUAGUGUACAGUAGUUUAUUGACGCAUUUCGACUUCGUCGGGAUUUGGAUUUGGACCGCAUAAAUGCACGCCCGGGUUUAAGAAGGUAAUAUUAAUUAAGAUGUAUCCUAAAGAGACUAACGUAUUUGUUGUUUUGGAAAAGGCCUUAAAAUUCAUAAGCGUCCCAUUCCGAAGUCUAUUCACUUAUUAUGUCUUUUUAGUCGAGGAGCCGCAAUUUGUAAUUUAUUUGGCAGUGCAUGCUUCAUUUUAUUUUAAAGGAUAACCUGAAGCGACUAAUUUUCUAUUUUCGUUGCAUCUCUAAAAAUAAGAGAAAGAGACCUAGAUAAUUAAUAUUGGGUUAAGAACUAUUAUAAUUGGGCCUUGAGCAUAACCCAUUAAAAAUCAGAACCCAAAUCGCCUUAAUAUAGACUCUCAGUCCCUUUUCGCAAAAAAUAAAACACAACUCUGAUUUAAACAAGACUAGACAUUUGCUGAAUUUUACUUUAAAUUUUUUAUAAUGAGUACCUUAGACAAGAUUAAAUGCAAAGACUAAAUUGAGUAAAAUGCCCAUGAGAUAAACUAAAGUAUAUGAGCUACGCCUUUUAUCACACAAUUUGACUAUCUGUAUCCUUCAUAUUCCCUAAUACACUUACCUAGUAUUUCCAACAAACUACCCUUUUUAUCACACAAUUUGACUAUCUAUAUCCUUCAUAUUCCCUAAUACACUUUCCUAGUAUUUCCAACAAACUAAAUUAUUACUGAAAUAGCUUCGCAAUAUAACUUCAUUGCAACUAUAUUAUUACUAGAAUAACUUCAUGAAGCAAUCGAAAUGACUACAGGAGUUAGCCUUAGCUAGUUAAGACAUUACUCUAUUGGACAUAAGCAUAACUGAACGCUUAACUAAUACUCAUACAAGUCUAGAAAAAUACUCAUAGUCAAAACACAGUCCCGUAUGAAUUAACUGAUCUAAGCAGUUCAGUAACUGAACGCUUAAAUAAUACUCAUACAAGUCUAGAAAAAUACUCAUAGUCCAAACACAGUCCCGUAUGAAUUAACUGAUCUAAGUAGUUCAGAAAUUAAUCUAAUUAUGUUGUCCUUAAUAAAAUUACAAAUUAAACAAACUAAAUGCGUAUACUACUCAUCACAUGGUCGAAUACAGCUAUAUGCAUCCAAACGAGCAUAGAUCUGGAAAUAUGAUUUCAUUUCGUUGUUUCGACAGGAUAAGCUACAUUGAUAAUCCAGAAUGUGUACCUGGUAAUUUACUAAGCAAAUGAAAGGAGGGAGGAUCAGUAAUGAAGAGCAGUAACAAACACGGCACAGCAACAUGUUCAAGCAACACCAGUGAACUUUCAAUAGAAGAACACUCAGGGAAACAAAACUUGGAAUUUCAAAUGAACCAGUAGGAAACACUAAUACUGAUUUUUAGCAAAUAAAAUAUGCUCUCCUAAUAUUGAAUUUCUGAUCUUAAAAUUCAGUUCUAAGCUCUCAAUUCCCAAUCUUUAAAAUUCAGUCACACUCUUAGUUAUAAGUUUCUGACCUCUAAAACUCUCCUCCUUUUCUGUUUUCGACCCCCUGUAUUUAUAGCCUAUUCCAGACCUUAAAAGGCACUAAGCCAGCUGCUUCAUUCAUUACUCCCUCAUGUACUUUUGUUUUUCAGUUCUUAGGAGUAUUAUCACUAAUUAAAGAAGUGAAUAAAACCAUGUUAUUCCCUGCAUUCCCCACUCAGAAUACUCAAACACUUAGCUUUUUGGUACCACCACUGGCCUUUCUUUCUUUAUUAAGUUACAGACGUAUGGGCAGCCUGUUAUUCUAUUCAAAAUCCCUUAAACCUGUGAAAGGGUGCCCCUAUGACUUCUACUUUCUGACCCUAAGGGUGUAUUAAUCAAUAUAUUAACUUAUUGGUCCACUAGUAUCACCUGAGAUACCACUCACUAGUCCACUUUCAAUUUCUCAAAUAUCAAAUUACCCUUGAAAUCUCACUGGAGAUGCAUCUAUAACCAACAUAAUCAAACCCAAGUCAGAUACUGAGAUGAAUGGACUAAAAUCAGUGAGGCAAAAGAUGCAUUUAAACUGAACUGGAAACCCACAAAACUUAGAGAUUGACAACUUCAGUUCAAUGUUAUUAUUGACUAAGUAAAUGAACUUAUUUCUAAACUCAAGCAUUCAGGCAGACUUAUCAAUUUUAACAUUUUGAUGCAUUAAUUUCAUACGAACAGACUAACUUGGUUUGAUCACAGAAUCAAAUAGAAACGAAGCAGGAGAAGAAGAAACAUGAAAAUUAAACAAAGAAAAGAGAGUUGAAAAUACCGGAUAUUCAAAACUGACCAACACUGAAAAUUCCUCGUCCCUUCGUUGUGGGUAGAAGCGGACCUUAAUCGUGUGCUUCCAAUGUUGAAACAUAUGACUAAUGUGGAAUUCAGUCCCAAAAGAUCCUCACGGUGCGUGUUUGGUCUUCGAGUCAAAAUUUGGGCUCUAUUUAAUCAAUCUAAGAUUCGAAAACUUCCAGCUUGAUUCAAACAAAAGAUGGCGUUAAAUUAGGGAUGAGGGAGGUCAGGUGGAGCUGGGGUGUGAAUUUGGAACUGGUUGGGUAGGUUUAAGGUUUUGUUCGAAUCUUCGAUUGAAGAUUCGAAACAAACCGGGAUGGUUCGAUGUGAAAGGGUUAAGGAUUUGGAGAGGGGGGAUCAGGGUGGUUCAGGGGUGUAAGUUUGGCGGACAUCGGCGUUCGAAUCGUUGACUGAAAAUUCGAAACAAACCGGGAUGACUCGAGGUGAAAGGGGUAAGGAUUUGGAGAGUGGGGAUCAGGGCGAUUAAAGGGUGUAAGUUUGGCAGACAUCAGAUCCGGCACCACCAGGUUUUCAGGCGAAGGAAAUGGGAGCGGCGUUUAGGGUUCAGGGGUCGUUUGGUUUGUCUCUGAAGAGACGAAGGGGGAGUGUUUAGAAAUGAGACGGGUAAAGGGGAUUUGGGGGCGGGGUUAUUUGGAUAUAAAAUUGCUUAAUUAAUCUCGGCCGUUGGAUAAUGAGAUCCAACAGUUCAGAUUAAAAAGAAAUGAUGGGGAGGUCCAGUUUGGUAACGGGUGAGGGUUGGGCAAUGGAUAUGGGCGAGGAUUGGACGAUCUGGACCGUUGAUCAAGUGAGAUCAACGUUCAGGAUGGGGCGUGAUGAAACGACGUCGUUUGGGACGUCUGUGAGGCUUGGGCCAAUUGCACCGGGUAAAGAGAUGUUUGAAUUGGGCUUGCUUCUAUUUUAAAAUUUUAGCCCAAACCGUAUUUCUUCAUUUUCUUUCACUUUUUUUUCGUUUUAUUUUUAAUUCCUAAUUACCAAAGUUCCUAAAGUAAAUUGUAAAAAUAAAAUUAACUUAAAAUAUUAAUUAACCUUUAAUAAUAAUUAUCACACCAAAAACUAAACAUUAAUUACAAAAAAAAUCGGGCACUUCGAUAUUAAGUGCCAAAAAAUACAAACAUACAUAUUUUUUUUUUGUGAUUUUCAUUCUUUUAAAACCAAAGAUGAUUCAGUUAAUUCCUAAUUAUACAAUUAAAUUCUAAAUGCGCAUGUAAUAUAUACAUUUUUUUAUUUUUAAUUAAUAAAAAUAAAAAUAAACAAUUACGAACACAAUAAUUACUGAAAUGUCAUGAAAAUUCUCAAAAUUGUACCCGGAGGUAACUUUUUUAUUUUUUUCGAUUUCUUUUGGAAUGAUUUUCGUGAAGCAAAUAUCAUGUGCUCACAGCUGCCCCUCUUUGUCCGAAAGCACGAAGAGCUUUCGUGCAAAGAUAAAGUGAGCGGAUACGAGCGAUUCUUGCCCGUUGGAAUACUCGUGUGAAGCAUUUUUUGAAAAAGAUUUAACCGAACCUUUGCUUCAAAGGCUUCCUACAUAUUCUUGGCUAAAGGGAAUCAGGUUAACGUAGUUCGGGAUGUUUUGGUAGCUGGGAUUACCGGGGAACUGUGGUUCUGCUGUUACUGCUGUUGUAUGCCGUUACUAUUGCAUUAACGAUCUCCUUAUUACACCGUGCUAAAAAGAAAAUAAGAAGCUAGGCUAGACUAUUGAUCACAAGAUCAUAUCUAUCUUCAACUUAUUUUUGCUGCCUUGCUUUCUUGUCGACUUGUGUUUCUUCCGCCGCUUCUUUCUUAUGAGAGCUUGAAGGGUGACCCUGGACUUUUGCCUUCUGAACAUUAUUUUUCAUUAUCUUUGCUUGGUAUGUUGGGGGUAUGGCUUCCCUUAUUAUGCUUCUUGGCGAUUCCAUUUGGAGACAACUUUUUCGCGAUUCCAUUGGAGAAAAUUUUCCGCCUUUUUGGCGAUCCCCUGGGGAUAUGACCUUCUUCAUCAACAUUUUUUAUGCCGGGGCUUUUUGUGGAAACAUUCUGCCUUCCAGAUGGGGUUACCGAUUUCAAGUCAUAAAUGUAAAGCUAAUGAAAUGUAGCUAUAUGCAAUGUAGAUGCAAAGCUAUACGACGCGUAGUCAAAUGAGAUGUAGAUGCAAAGUUAUAUGACAAAUAGUCAUGAGAUAUAGAUGAAAAGCUAUGUGACACGUAGUCAUGAGAUGUAGAUGCAAAGAUAUAUGACACGUAGUCGUGAGAUGUAGAUGCAAAGCUAUACGACACGUAGUCGUGAGAUGUAGAUGCAGAGAUUUAUGACGUGUAGUCAUGUGAUGUAAAUGCAAGCUAUGCGAUACGUAGUCAUGAGAUGUAGAUGCAAAUCUAUGCGACACGUAGUCAUGAGAUGUAGAUGCAGAGCUAUAUGACACGUGGUCAUGUGAUGUAUAUGCAGAGCUAUAUGACGCGUAUUCAUGUGAUGUAGCCCCUGGUUUUGUUAGGCGGGUGGCCUGAAUGAAAAUCUAUAUGAUGCAAUCCCUUAUUUUAAUAGUUGGUGCCCUAUGAUGCUGUUGUAAGGAUGUGAUUAUAACUUGAAUUCAGUUUCCCCAUUCCGAGGGAAUUUUCGACAAAGGCAGACAAUUUUCUGCACCAGUUUUGGCAUUCUCCCUUGUGGUGCGUCUUUCUGCCAUUGUCAGCAUUUCUUUUUCUGCUUCCACUCAAAGAAAACUUUAUUAGUUCAAAACAUGGCGAAUGGUCAUGCCACUCCAUUGGGUAUGGUCUUUGCUUUCCUUUUUUCUUGCUCUGUGCUCCCAAACUUUCUAGGGAUUGGCGUUACAUGCUAGGGAUGAUAUUUCUGUUGGUGAUGGUUUGCUAUUUCUUACUUCCUCGUCCUGUGUUCGAGAUGCUCUAGGAAUGUCUUUUAAGCAACCUCCUUUCAAAAGUUUCACUGCUUUUUUCUUGCUCUGCGCUCCCAAACUUGCUGAGAAUUGGCGUUACAUGCUGGGGACGAUAUUUCUGUUGGUGAUGGUUUGCCAUUUCUUUCUUCCUCGUUCUGUGUUCAAGACUCUCCAGGAAGGUCUUUUAAGAAACCUCCUUUCAAAAGUUUCACUUUCCCUCAACUCUUCUGGGGAUAAGAUGUUAUUAGUUGGGAUAGUGUUGCUAAGGAUACGAAUGGUGGGGGUUAUCUUGCUGGGGAUGAAUUUUCCCCCUUUCCUUCCCCUUUUCUGCGUUGUCCGACCACCUUGGAAUGUUGUCAAUAAUCUGUCGAAUUUCUGCUGGGGAUCCUCUUGGAAUUUGAUCCAAAAGUUCUUCAACUGUUGCUUUCCAGCUUUUCUCCAUAUUUCCUUUGAUGUUUUAGGCCAGUUUGUCAUUUGUUCUUGCAACAAACGCCUUUUUUGUCUUACUGCCUUUUUUUUUGGCAUGUCUUCUUCACAUUUUGCUUUGUACCGUUUUGGUAACUGGUAGUAAACUCCGAAAAAUCUUUCUCAAAAACAAAUUUGUUUUUUUGGAAAAAGACUUUUAAACAAAGAAAUGAAAAGAUAGAAAAAGGUAAAAUCUUUCUGAACAAAUGCCAGGAAAAGAAAAGAAAAGAACUUAUGUGGCUGGUAUAACUGAUCCCAACGAUCAUGUCAUGCAUUCUGGAUUAAUCGACCCAGUCUAUUUGUAUCAAUCAAUUUUUCCUAACGACUUCAUUUUCCUGGAUAAACAUAUGCCUAACUCUUUGCCAUGUGCGGAUCAUCUCUGCCAAUCUCAUCUUGUCACCUUAUAGUGCCCUUCGAGGGGGUUUUACUAAUAAGACUCUCUCCUUUCUCUCAGCUCCCAUCGCCUUAUGGUGUCCGUGAAGGUUUUCACCACAAGACUCUGUCAUUUUGUUUCUCUAAACUUACGUCUCCUUAUGCUGCCUGUGAAGGUUUUCGCCGAUAAGACUCUCUCAUUUUAUUUUUCAGAUGGGGAUCAGAGUGUCACCGAUAAGAUUUUAUCUACUAGGAGUUCUUUUGGCUAUCAAUUUCUUCAGCAUAUGACCCUCAUCCGGUUGGGGAUCAGUGUAUUAUUCCUGGCUUCCACUUUCCUGACUCGGCACCUUUUGGAUACUGAUCGGGAGGUCUUUUUUGGUUAUAACAUGUUAGUAUUGUGGGCUUUAAAGAAAAAGGGGUAUCACAAAUUCAAAGUGACUUCAAUGGGUUAGAGACUACAACUCUUGGAAUCAAAAUUUUUCUAACAACCUAAUUUCUGCUCCAGUUUUCUGAUUGGGGAUUUUUGAUUUUUCGCGACAUUUCGUCACACUAUGACUGAGCCGUGAGGCGCCUACGUAUCCUUUCUUGAGGAAUCAGGUCAAAUGUAGUUCCCAAAUAUUUGUUUUCUUAUGAUUUUCUUAUCAUUUUAUAUCUCUCCCUCUUUUUUAACGAUUCUAAGAGUGGGGUAUGAAAGAACAAAUAUGGCUCAAAGGGGGAAACAAAGGUUGACAAUGUUGAGGUAGAUGAAAGAAUUGCCUCCAUCAUUUCGUUAUCCGAUGAACACCAAGUACAAACAAAAAAAAUUAUGAUAAAUACAAUCAAGGAAUUUGCACAUAUAUCUCUUGACCGCAUCAGAAUUGAUAGCCAUGUCAACGCAUCUUCCUUCGACAUCUGUCAAGCAUAAAGUCCAUUGGAUAAUACCCCGGUCACAACAAAUGGUCCUUGUCUCGACCUGAUGCGCGAGAAUCCGUUUCAAUACUCUCUGCCCUAUUUAAAAUUUCCUGGGGUGCACCUUCAUGUUGUAAGCUCUCGCCAUUCUCCUUUGAUAUAAUUUACCAUGGCGUACUGGUGCCAUUCUCUUUUCAUCAAUUAAGCUCAACUUCUCCAAUCGCGUUUUGACCCACAUUGUCGGCAUGGAUGCUGAUUUUGGUUUCCCCCACAUUGUCGGCAUCCCCCAGAUUGACAACCUCAGUAUCAUUUAAAUUUGGCCCUCUUUACCUCUUCAAAGGCUUCAUCCUCGUCAUAUUCCAAAUUAUCAAACUCGACCUCUUGUAUAAUUAGCUCGGAAUUAGAUUAAUUAUUUAGACUGGGCCGAAUAUCCGUCGUGUAUGCCAUGUCAUCAGGACCAAUAAAAAUAGAACCGUUUAGAAAGCAAAAGAAGAAGAAACAAAAUUAAACAAAACAAGAAUAGAAAACUUUUAAUUUAAUAAAACAGGGGAUAACAGGGUUCACACUUUUGCUGAAAAAUAAAACAAAAUUUGGAUUACACCCUGGAAUAAUCCAGAAAACGAGAAAGAUAAAUCAAGGCCUACUACUAAGACUCCCUCCGGGUAGGGAAAGGAGUUGUUGUCUGGUUCUUAAGGUUGUCCCUAGGCCCGCAAACUGCAUAUCAGCCCUGCUGGAACCCUCUCCAGCUUCUAAUACAUUGACGUCGGCGAUCAUCUUUGGCUCCCGGACUCCCUCCGGGUAGGGAGAGGAGUUGUUGUCUAGUUGUUAAGGUUGGCCCUAGGCCAUACAAACUUCAUCUCAGCCCUGCUGGAACCCUCUCGAGCUUCUAAUACAUUGACGUCGGCGAACAUCUUUGGCUCCCCUCCUUCGUGCACCAGCUCGAUCAUAUGGGUUUCAUGAUGUGCGGGCAAUGAGUUCUUUUUAAUGUUAGGUGCCUCCGGCGCCUGAACCUCAAUUUUGUUGGAGUCGAUAAGAUCAUGUAUCGCCCGCUUCAACUUCCAACAUUUUUCCGUAUUAUGUCCCGGCAUUCCCGAACAGUACUCGCAGCUUAGAGAUUGGUCCAAAUUUGGGGGUGGGGGAUUUGGCAACCUAUUCUUGACAGGAUUCAAAAAACCCAACCGCUUUUACUUGUGAAAUAAAGCGGUAUAGGUCUCUCCCAACUCGGUGUAGGUUUUUUUGUUAUGUAUUCUUUCAUUUUUGUAUGCCGGAUUUCUCCGAGAACCUGCCCCUGUUGAGUUUCUGUUGGCCCUGGGUGGUGGAUAGGUAUUUUGUGGAGGCAGGUAUGUGUUUUGUGGAGGUGGAUAUGUGUUUUGGGGAACCAGCGUGCUCCAUUGUGGGCGAGCCGGGGGUUGAGUGUAGGUUUGGGCUUGGUAUACGGUGAAGUGUGGUUCUUGUGGUGGAUAGUGGUACUGUGGUGGGCUAUAUGGGGAAUGUGGAUAAUUUGGCUGGUGGGGACUAUGUAGGUUAUAGUAGUGCUUGCCGGAUCUGGACCAAUUUCUAGCUUCGAUCGUGGCCACUUCUUCUUUCCUUUUCUUCCCAAAUGCAACUCCCGUGCCGCUUUGAAUAGCCUGAGUCAUUGCCUUAAGCGCCGUAUAGUUCAGGAUUUUAUCUGACUUCAUUCCCUCCUCUAUCAUAACCUCUAUCUUUACUAUUUCAUUGAAGGAUUUUCCAACCGUUGUCACCAAGUGACCAAAGUAAGUCGGAUCCAGCGUUUGCAGGAAGUAGUCCACCAUUUCCCCCUCUCUCACGGGAGGAUCAACCCUGGCUGCUUGUUCUCUCCAAGGAAACCUGAAUUCACGGAAACUUUCCCGUGGCUUCUUCCCAGUCCUUAGUAAUGUGAGACGGUCAGAGACUAUCUCGAGAUUGUACUGGAAGUGACCUGCGAAAGCCCGCGCUAGAUCGUCCCAAGUGUACCACCUGCAAGGAUCCUGUCUGGUAUGCCAUUCCAGUGCCAAUCCGCUUAAAAUUUGGCCAAAAUAAGCCAUCAGUAGCUCAUAUUUGCCACCCGCUCCUCUCAUCUUGCUUCAGAAACCCCGUAAAUAUGCCAUAGGAUUUCCAUGCCCUUUGUACAAGUCGAACUUAGGCAUUUUGAACCCUGAAGGCAGUUGGACAUUAGGGAACGGGCAUAGAUCUUUGUGUGCUAUGCUGACUUGGUUUCCCAACCCGUACAUGCUCCUCAAGGAUUGCUCUAGGCUUUUGAACUCCCUCAUUACCUCAUCUUGCUCCGGGACCUUUGCCGGCUUUUCAAUCUCCACCGGGACUUCCAAGUGGGGAUUAUGGGUAUGGGGCUCUGGUGCAUUGAAUGUGGGUUCCGGGGGAUAGUAUGGUGCAUUGUGAGCCUGAAACAACAACUCACUAGUUCAUCUCUGCAGCGUGGCUGGUGAGGGUCCCAUAAAAACGGGAAUGUUUGGUGGUGGAAAGUGCUGAUUGAGAGGUGGGGCUUGGGUAUCAUAGGGGUUUCUCCCCUGAUAAUAGUGGUGAUUCGAGAGGCUUGUUGAAGGUCCAGGGUGAGGGUAUUCCGGCAUAUCCCUAAUGUAGGAGUAACAGGUGGUACAGGGCUCUUCUGCACUUUAGCCAACGCUAACUGCAUCGCGUUCAUUUCCAAUCCGAUCAUUUCUAUCUUCUCCAUUGCCUCUUUCAGCAACUGGCUCACUGGCCUUUCUUUCUCGACAUUGUGUUCUCAAGUGGUCAUGCUUAUUGGUAUAGGUCUUUUGGAUCUGGUUUGAUAAUGAUGUGAUGCCAGAACGCUUUAACAACUAACUGUGUGAGACUCCGAAAACAACAAACUUGUUAGUGUUAGUUUUAACAGAUAUUGUCAUUGCACGCUGGGGGAUGCAAUGUUCCUAGGCAGUUAACCAUUUCUAGCAUGUUAUGCUUUGAUCCGCAUGCGUCACUCCGUCCUAAAUAUGAUUCCCUCUUCUUUUUUUAAUAAAAGACCCAGUAUUGCAAAAACGGCCUUUCAUCGUCUCGGAGACAAAGAUUAUAAGGCUGUGUGGGUCAACUGGCCAAAAUCUAAAAAAUGACUCAAAGGUGGCCGUUAAUGCAAAAUUAGCCUUCCGGCGUCCCUUUCGGGAAUAUUUGGCUAUUUUGACAACAAUGACGUCACCUAACUUAUUUAUAACAAAAAUUAAUAUUUUUUACACUUUUUUUGGGUUAUUUUUUUCAAAGAGGAGGUUGGACCCGAUUAGGAUUGCCUACGUAUCUCACAAUCGGUAAGAAUCAAACCCGUGUAGUUCGGGUGAGAAAAAUAAAUUAAAGUGAGACUCUAUUAUUUUAAGUAAAACACACCAUUUUUCUUCUUUUAAAAUUUUGUCAGAGUUUUACAAUACUUGGUCAUUGGCUUUAUUUGAAAAAUUAUUUAUUUAUUUAUUUUGUUAUUUUUAUUUUUAAAACGAGCAGCUAUCUCUCCGCUAUGUUUUCUCUCUUUUUUCAAAAUUUUUUAUUUUCCAGAAUUCCUGUUUUCACAAGCCGGUCAACAUGCAAGUUCGAAGCAAACUAUAUGCGCAAACAAACAAGAUGCAGCAUGAUGGUCUUUUUGUUUCAGGUUGUUAUUCCUUCGCAGGCCCAACCCCUGUGUUGAGCUCCCUAAGUCAUAUGCAACGUGAUGCAAAUAAGUGCUUCCUACUUGGGAUCCGGCAUGAAGUCAUGUUUUACUACGUUCAAAUCCUGGGUAUAUGUUCUAGAUAGUGCACCCGAGCGGACAACUCGAGUCGAGGAAGGAGCUCCUUUCCGGGAAUCAAAAGGCCAGCCUGCUUAGAAACUUUCCGAGCCUCUUGUAUUUGAGGGUAUGAGAGUAACAGAAUAGGGAGUCUCAACCAGUAAGCACAUCCCCGGAGGUGAGAAGAGAAUGGUGUCGGCACAGUUUAUAUACAAUUCAGAUAACAUCAAAGCGGUAAAACAUUUUGCACAUUUAGCACAUAUCACAUGAAUAUAUCAGAUAAUAAAGCAAAAUUAUAACAAUUUAUCAUAUGCUCAAAGUUCUAACCCUGAACCAAUGGUUCUGGGUUGAUUUCCCAGUGGAGUCUCCAGAGCUGUCACACCUCCUUUUGGCGUGCCCCGCGAGGGGCGCAAGGAGUUUUUUCCAAUUAAGGGACAAUCAAAUGGGAUUGGAUUAAUUAUUUCAGAGUCGCCACCUUGGAGAUUUGUGGUGCCCCAAGUCACCGGUUUUAAUAUCGAAUAGAGGAAAAGAAUGACUCUAAUUUACAGUCAGCGUACCUGAUAUCUGGAUAAGGAAUUCUGUUAACCCGGGAGAAGGUGCUAGGCAUUUACGAGUUCCGUGGUUCAUGCACGGUCGCUCAACAGUUAUAUUUGGCUUAGUAUCUGAUUUUAAACAAUAUGUGCUUAGUGCAAAUAUAUGACUUUUUACAGCUUUUGUUAUUACUGUUGUUAUUUUUUUAUAAUGACUUGCAAUGUCGUGAAAACAUAUCUCGAACCACGUCACAACCAGUGUACGCGUGGUCGUCGACACAUUUCGACUUCAUCGAGAUUUGGAUUUGGGUUGCAGAAAUGCACACCCGUAUUAGGGAGGUAAUUAUAUUAAAGACGCGCCGUAAGCGACUAGCGUAGUCUUGUAUUGGACAAAGCCGUAAAAUUUUGUUAAUCAGCUCGUUCAUAGUCUAAGCAAUCUUGCACAACGAACAUGUAUAGAGGGCCCCGCAAUUUGUGUAUUUUUGGUUUGGCGAGGCAUGCCUCCUUUAGUUGCUUAUUUUUAAGAAUUACAACGUCAUGGAAAUGCAUCUCAAACCACGUCACAACCAGUGUAUACGUAGUUUAUUGACAUAUUCUGACUUCGUCGGGAUUUAGAUUUGGGCCGCAUAAAUACACACCCGGGUUUAGGAAGGUAAAAUUAAAUAUGGCACGUCUUAAAGAGACUAACGUAUUUGUUGUUUUGGAAAAGGCCGUAAAAUUCAUUAAGCGACCAAUUACGAAGUCUAUUCACUUAUUAUUUCCUUUUAGUCGAGGACCCCGCGAUUUGUAUUUUAUUUGGCAGGGCAUGCCUCAUUUUAAUUAAAAGGAUAACAUGAAGCGACUAAUUUUCUAUUUUCGUUGCGUCUAAAAAGAGAAAGAGCCCUAGCUAAUUAAUAUUGGUUUAAGAACUAUUACAAUUGGGCCUUGAGCAUAACCCAUUUAAAAUCAGAACCCAAGUCGCAUAAAUAUAAACUCUCAGUCCCUUUUCGCAAAAAAUGAAACCCAACUACAAUUUAAACAAGACUAGACAUUUGCUGAAUUUUAAUUUCAAAUUUUUAUAAUCAGUACCUUAGACAAGAUUAAAUGCAAAGACUAAAUUGAGUAAAAUGCCCAUGAGAUAAACUAAAGUAUAUGAAUUACCCCUUUUAUCACACAAUUUGACUAUCUGUAUCCUUCAUAUUCCCUAAUACACCUUCCUAGUAUUGUCAACAAAGCUACGCCUUUUAUCACACAAUUUGACUAUCUGUAUCCUUCAUAUUCCCUAAUACACUUACCUAGUAUUUCCAACAAACAGAUUAUUACUGAAAUAGCUUCGUAAAAUAACUUCAUUGCAACUAUAUUAUUACUAGAAUAACUUCAUGAAGCAAUCGAAAUGACUACAUGAGUUAACCUUAGCUAGUUAAGACAUUACUCUAUUGGAUAUAAGCAUAACUGAACGCUUAAAUAAUACUCGCACAAGUCUAGAAAAAUACUCACAGUCCAAACACAGUCCUGUAUGAAUUAAAUGAUCUAAGUAGUUAGGAAAUUUUUCUAAUUAUGUAGUCCUUAAUACAAUUACAAAUUAAACAAACUAAAUGCGUAUACUACUCAUCACAUGGUCGAAUACAGCUAUAUGCAUCCAAACGAGCAUAGAUCUGGAAAUAUGAUUUCAUUUCGUUGUUUCGACAGGAUAAGCUACAUUGAUAAUCCAGAAUGUGUACCUGGUAAUUUACUAAGCAAAUGAAAGGAGGGAGGAUCAGUAAUGAAGAGCAGUAACAAACACGGCACAGCAACAUGUUCAAGCAACACCAGUGAACUUUCAAUAGAAAACCAAUCACUCAAACUGAUGCAAUAUUCAGCAAGUAAAAAACCCAGGAAAAUACUAAACAGUAGUACUUGAAAACCAACUGAAGAUCCUAGCAACACCAAUGGAAUACCAGUUGUACCAGAAAACAACCUCAGUCAAAAUAGAAGAGAAACAAAUUAAAAGUAACAGUAGUUGCCUGCCUUUGAACACUUACGGAAACAAAACUUGCAAUUUCAAAUGAACUAGUAGGAAACACUAACACUGAUUUUUAGCAAAAUAAAAUAUGCUCUCCUAAUAUUGAAUUUCUGAUCUUAAAAUUCAGUUCUAAGCUCUCAAUUCCCAAUCUUUAAGAUUCAGUUACACUCUUAGUUCUAAGUUUCUGACCUCUAAAACUCUCCUCCUUUUCUGUUUUCGACCCCCUGUAUUUAUAGCCUAUUCCAGACCUUAAAAGGCACUAAGCCAGCUGCCUCAUUCAUUACUCCCUCAUGUACUUUUGCUUUUCAGUUCUUAGGAGCAUUAUCACUAAUUAAAGAAGCGAAUAAAACCAUGUUAUUCCCUGCAUUCCCCACUCAGAAUACUCAAACACUUAGCUUUUUGGUACCACCACUGGCCUUUCUUUCUUUAUUAAGUUACAGACGUAUGGGCAGCCUGUUAUUCUAUUCAAAAUCCCUUAAACCUGUGAAAGGGUGCCCAUGUGACUUCUGCUUUCUAACCUUAAGGGUGUACGUAUGAGCAGCCUGUUAUUCUAUUCAAAAUCUCUUAAACCUGUGAAAGGGUGCCCAUGUGACUUCUGCUUUCUAACCUUAAGGGUGUAUUAAUCAAUGUAUUAACUUAUUGGUCCACUAGUAUCACCAGACAGACCACUCACUAGACCACUUUCAAUUUCUCAGAUUUCAAAUUACCCUUGAAAAUCUAACUAGAGAUACAGCUAUAACCAACUUAAUCAAACUCAAUCUAAGAUGAAUGGACAGAAACCAGUGAGGAAAAACAUGCAUUUAAACUGAACUGGCAACCCACGGAACUUAGAGAUUGACAACAUCAGUUCAAUGUUAUUACUGACUAAGUAAAUGAACCGAUUUCUAAACUUAUGCACUCAGGCACACUUAUCAAUUUUAACAAUGUGAUGCAUUAAUUUCAUACGAACAGACUAACUUGGUUUGACCAUAGAAUCAAACAGAAACGAAGCAGGAGAAGAAGAAACAUGAAAAUUAAACAAAGAAAAGAGAGCUGAAAAAUACCGGAUAUUCAAAACUGACCAACACUGAAACUUCCUCGUCCCUUCGUUUUUUGCAGAAGCGGACCUUAAUCGUGUGCUUCCAAUAUGGAAACAUAUUACUAAGGUCGAAUUUAGUCCCAAAAGAUCCUCACAGUGCGUGUUUGGUCUUCCAGUCAAACUUAGGGCUCCGUUCAAUCAAUAUAAGAUUCGAAAACUUCCAGCUUGAUUCAAACAAAAGAUGGCGUUAAAUUAGGGAUGAGGGAGGUCAGGUGGAGCUGGGGUGUGAAUUUGGAACUGGUUGGGUAGGUUUAAGGUUUUGUUCGAAUCUUCGAUUGAAGAUUCGAAACAAACCGGGAUGGUUCGAUGUGAAAGGGUUAAGGAUUUGGAGAGGGGGGAUCAGGGUGGUUCAGGGGUGUAAGUUUGGCGGACAUCGGAGCCGGCGCCGCCGGUUUUUCAGGCGAAGGAAAUGGGGGCGGCGUUUAGUGUUCAGGGGUCGUUUGGUGUCUCUGAAGAGACGAAGGGGGAGUGUUUGGAAAUGAGACGGGUAAAGGGGAUUUGGAGGGGGGUUUAUUUGGAUAUAUAAUUGCUUAAUUAAUCUAGGCCGUUGGAUAAUGAGAUCCAACAGUUCAGAAUAAAAAGAAAUGAUGGGGCGGUCCAGUUUGGUAACGGGUGAGGGUCGGGAUUUGGAUUUGGGCCGCAUAAAUGCACACCUGGGUUUAGGAAGGUAAAAUUAAUUAAGAUGUGUCCUAUAGACACUAACGUAUUUGUUGUUUUGGAAAAGGCCUUGAAUUUCAUUAAGCGGCCAAUUUCGAAGUCUAUUCACUUAUUAUGUCUAUUUAGUCAAGGAGCCGCAAUUUGUAAUUUAUUUGGCAGUGCAUGCGUCAUUUUAUUUUAAAGGAUAACCUGAAGCGACUAAUUUUCUAUUUUCGUUGCAUUUCUAAAAAUAAGAGAAAGAGACCUAGGUAAUUAAUAUUGGGUUAAGAACUAUUAUAAUUGGGCCUUGAGCAUAACCCAUUUAAAAUCAGAACCCAAAUCGCUUUAGUAUAGACUCUCAGUCCCUUUUCGCAAAAAAUGAAACACAACUCUGAUUUAAACAAGACUAGACAUUUGCUGAAUUUUAAUUUUAAUUUUAAUUUUUUAUAAUGAGUACCUUAGACAAGAUUAAAUGCAAAGAUUAAAUUGAGUAAAAUGCCCAUGAGAUAAACUAAAGUAUAUGAACUACCCUUUUUAUCACACAAUUUAACUAUCUGUAUCCUUCAUAUUCCCUAAUACACUUUCCUAGUAUUUCCAACAAACUAAAUUAUUACUGAAAUAGCUUCGCAAUAUAACUUAAUUGCAACUAUAUUAUUACUAGAAUAACUUCAUGAAGCAAUCGAAAUGACUACAGGAGUUAGCCUUAGCUAGUUAAGACAUUACUCUAUUGGACAUAAGCAUAACUGAACGCUUAACUAAUACUCAUACAAGUCUAGAAAAAUACUCAUAGUCAAAACACAGUCCCGUAUGAAUUAACUGAUCUAAGCAGUUCAGAAAUUAAUCUAAUUAUGUAGUCCAUAAUAAAAUUACAUAUUAAACAAACUAAAUGCGUAUACUACUCAUCACAUGGUCGAAUACAGCUAUAUGCAUCCAAACGAGCAUAGAUCUGGAAAUAUGAUUUCAUUUCGUUGUUUCGACAGGAUAAGCUACAUUGAUAAUCCAGAAUGUGUACCUGGUAAUUUACUAAGCAAAUGAAAGGAGGGAGGAUCAGUAAUGAAGAGCAGUAACAAACACGGCACAGCAACAUGUUCAAGCAACACCAGUGAACAACACUCUGGGAAACAAAACUUGGAAUUUCAAAUAAACCAGUAGGAAACACUAACACUGAUUUUUAGCAAAAUAGACUAUACUCUCAUAAUAUUGAACUUCUGAUCUUAAAAUUCAGUUCUAAGCUCUUAAUUUCUAAUCUUUUAAAUUCAGUCCCACUCUUAGUUCUAAGUUUCUGACCUCUAAAACUCUUCUCCUUUUCUAUUUUCGACCCCCUGUAUUUAUAGCCCAUUCCAUCCCUUAAAAGGCACUAAGCCAGCUGCCUCAUUCAUUACUCCCUCAUGUAAUUUUGCUUUUCAGAUCUUAGGAGCAUUAUCACUAAUUAAAGAAGUGAAUAAACCCAUGUUAUUCCCUGCAUUCCCCACUCAUAAUAAUCAAACACUUAGCUUUUUGGUACCACCACUGGCCUUUCUUUCUUUAUUAAGUUACUAAGGUAUGGGCAGCCUAUUAUUCUAUUCAAAAUCCCUUAAACCUGUGAAAGGGUGCCCCUGUGACUUCUACUUUCUGACCCUAAGGGUGUAUUAAUCAAUGUAUUAACUUAUUGGUCCACUAGUAUCACCUGACAGACCACUCACUAGACCACUUUCAAUUUCUCAGAUUUCAAAUUACCCUAGAACAUCUCACUAGAGAUGCAGCUAUAACCAACUUAAUCAAACUCAAAUCAGAUACUGAGAUGAAUGGACUGAAAUCAGUGAGGUAUAACAUGCAUUUAAACUGAACUGGAAACCCACAGAACUUAAAGAUUGACAACUUCAGUUCAAUGUUAUUAUUGACGAAGUAAAUGAACUGAUUUCUAAACUUAAGCAUUCAGGCAGACUUAUCAAUUUUAACAUUUUGAUGCAUUAAUUUCAUACGAAUAUACUAACUUAGUUUGAUCACAGAAUCAAAUAGAAACGAAGCAGGUGAAGAAGAAACAUGAAAAUUAAACAAAGAAAAGAGAGUUGAAAAUACCGGAUAUUCAAAACUGACCAACAUUGAAAUUCCUCGUCCCUUCGUUGUGGGCAGAAGCAGACCUUAAUCGUGUGCUUCCAUUGUUGAAACAUAUGACUAAUGUGGAAUUCAGUCCCAAAAGAUCCUCACGGUGCGUGUUUGGUCUUCGAGUCAAAAUUAGGGCUCCAUUUAAUCAAUCUAAGAUUCAAAAAGUUCCAGCUUGAUUCAAACAAAAGAUGGCGUUAAAUUAGGGAUAAGGGAGGUCAGGUGGAGCUGGGGUGUGAAUUUGGAACUGGUUAGGUAGGUAUAAGGUUUCGUUCGAAUCGUUGACUGAAGAUUCGAAACAAACCGGGAUGAUUCGAGGUGAAAGGGGUAAGGAUUUGGAGAGUGGGGAUCAGGGCGAUUAAAGGGUGUAAGUUUGGCAGACAUCAGAGCCGGCACCGCCGGGUUUUCAGGCGAAGGAAAUGGGAGCGGCGUUUAGGGUUCAGGGGUCGUUUGGUUUGUCUCUGAAGAGACGAAGGGGGAGUGUUUAGAAAUGAGACGGGUAAAGGGGAUUUGGGGGCGGGGUUAUUUGGAUAUAAAAU